rnacentral:rRNA from 1 species
AAUCAACGCUGGCGGCGUGCCUAACACAUGCAAGUCGCACGAGAAAGGGACUUCGGUCCUGAGUACAGUGGCGCACGGGUGAGUAACACGUGAAUCAUCUACCUUCGAGUGGGGAAUAACUGAGAGAAAUCUUAGCUAAUACCGCAUAAUACCUACGGGUCAAAGCAGCAAUGCGCUUGAAGAGGAGUUCGCGGCAGAUUAGUUAGUUGGCAGGGUAAGGCCUACCAAGACGAUGAUCUGUAUCCGGCCUGAGAGGGCGCACGGACACACUGGAACUGAAACACGGUCCAGACUCCUACGGGAGGCAGCAGUGGGGAAUUUUGCGCAAUGGGGGAAACCCUGACGCAGCAACGCCGCGUGGAGGAUGAAAUCCCUUGGGAUGUAAACUCCUUUCGAUCGGGAAGAUAAUGACGGUACCGAGAGAAGAA